GACGAACCACACGAACGUUAUUCGGAAUUACUGGGCUUAAAGGGUGCGUAGGCUGUGCAGCAAGUUAGGUGUGAAAUCCCCCGGCUCAACCGGGGAAUUGCGCUUAAAACUACUGUGCUAGAGAAAGAUAGAGGUGAGCGGAACUUCGGGUGGAGCGGUGAAAUGCGUUGAUAUCCGAAGGAACACCGGUGGCGAAAGCGACUUCCUGGACCAGUACCGACGUUCAGGCACGAAAGCGUGGGGAGCAAACAGG
rnacentral:rRNA from 1 species